GGUAUCCAUGUUGGAAUCCCUCAUUUGAUUCUUAUUCAAAUUUAGGUUCUGCCAAUAGAAGAUACUAGAGAAAGAAAGCCAAGAGAAGAAAAGAGACUUCUUCCUUCAAAGUCUAAGCUGUUCCAAUGGCAUUAUUCUGGGAAUGGCAUCUCCCACUCCUUCUAGCACAAAGAACCAGCUUCCUCAUACCCCGUCAAGGAACUGCAGCCUCCAGGUGAUGGCCACAGUGGCAGAACCUAGGAAGCCAAGAAGAAACCAGAGAACGGAGACACAUGGCAGCAAUGGCAAGUCAUCAGACCCAGGAUUUCCCAAAGAACACUGGUCCAGGAAGAUGCUCUGUGAAAAAGUGUUCCCCAGUCAGAGAAAUUUGUGAAACACUUUGCAUAAUACUUAAAAUAAUGUAUGGCACAUCAAAGGUAAUAUGCAAUAAGGGAAUUCAUUUUUUAAAACCAAGCAUA
rnacentral:lncRNA from 1 species